GGAGGUAGGGAACCUAUUAAAUCUAGUCAAAUUAUUAAUUCUAGAUGUUUGUUGUUUUAUGGGUUUAAAAGUAAAUAGCAAUCCUAAUUGAGCAAGUCUAUUGCUCGACUAACAAGAUGAUUGGGGGUGUAACUUAUUGGAAGAUAUUAGAGGCAGGGUUUCUAUUCAGGUGUUGGAGAUUGCAAUCCUAUAGAUGUCUAACAGUUGCAUGCAGGAUAUAUUAGAGCUCAACUCUUUAAUCACAGUGAUCAGCGAUGGCAAUGUUUCACUGGUUGACUAACUAGAUCUUGAAUCUCAACUGUCGUCUUUUGAUCACAAGAAAGUGUCGAUUGAUGAUCCUAUAUGGAUAUCGAUCAAUACACCUUUCACAAAUAUCGAUCGAUUGUCAGAAGACAAUAUCGAU
rnacentral:lncRNA from 1 species